rnacentral:rRNA from 1 species
AGAGUUUGAUCAUGGCUCAGGACGAACGCUGGCGGCGUGCCUAAUACAUGCAAGUAGAACGCUGAAGAGAGGAGCUUGCUCUUCUUGGAUGAGUUGCGAACGGGUGAGUAACGCGUAGGUAACCUGCCUUGUAGCGGGGGAUAACUAUUGGAAACGAUAGCUAAUACCGCAUAACAAUGGAUGACCCAUGUCAUUUAUUUGAAAGGGGCAAAUGCUCCACUACAAGAUGGACCUGCGUUGUAUUAGCUAGUAGGUGAGGUAACGGCUCACCUAGGCGACGAUACAUAGCCGACCUGAGAGGGUGAUCGGCCACACUGGGACUGAGACACGGCCCAGACUCCUACGGGAGGCAGCAGUAGGGAAUCUUCGGCAAUGGGGGCAACCCUGACCGAGCAACGCCGCGUGAGUGAAGAAGGUUUUCGGAUCGUAAAGCUCUGUUGUAAGUCAAGAACGAGUGUGAGAGUGGAAAGUUCACACUGUGACGGUAGCUUACCAGAAAGGGACGGCUAACUACGUGCCAGCAGCCGCGGUAAUACGUAGGUCCCAAGCGUUGUCCGGAUUUAUUGGGCGUAAAGCGAGCGCAGGCGGUUUGAUAAGUCUGAAGUUAAAGGCUGUGGCUCAACCAUAGUUCGCUUUGGAAACUGUCAAACUUGAGUGCAGAAGGGGAGAGUGGAAUUCCAUGUGUAGCGGUGAAAUGCGUAGAUAUAUGGAGGAACACCGGUGGCGAAAGCGGCUCUCUGGUCUGUAACUGACGCUGAGGCUCGAAAGCGUGGGGAGCGAACAGGAUUAGAUACCCUGGUAGUCCACGCCGUAAACGAUGAGUGCUAGGUGUUGGAUCCUUUCCGGGAUUCAGUGCCGCAGCUAACGCAUUAAGCACUCCGCCUGGGGAGUACGACCGCAAGGUUGAAACUCAAAGGAAUUGACGGGGGCCCGCACAAGCGGUGGAGCAUGUGGUUUAAUUCGAAGCAACGCGAAGAACCUUACCAGGUCUUGACAUCCCGAUGCUAUUUCUAGAGAUAGAAAGUUACUUCGGUACAUCGGUGACAGGUGGUGCAUGGUUGUCGUCAGCUCGUGUCGUGAGAUGUUGGGUUAAGUCCCGCAACGAGCGCAACCCCUAUUGUUAGUUGCCAUCAUUCAGUUGGGCACUCUAGCGAGACUGCCGGUAAUAAACCGGAGGAAGGUGGGGAUGACGUCAAAUCAUCAUGCCCCUUAUGACCUGGGCUACACACGUGCUACAAUGGUUGGUACAACGAGUUGCGAGUCGGUGACGGCAAGCUAAUCUCUUAAAGCCAAUCUCAGUUCGGAUUGUAGGCUGCAACUCGCCUACAUGAAGUCGGAAUCGCUAGUAAUCGCGGAUCAGCACGCCGCGGUGAAUACGUUCCCGGGCCUUGUACACACCGCCCGUCACACCACGAGAGUUUGUAACACCCGAAGUCGGUGAGGUAACCUUUUGGAGCCAGCCGCCUAAGGUGGGAUAGAUGAUUGGGGUGAAGUCGUAACAAGGUA